rnacentral:rRNA from 1 species
GUCCUUUUGAGAUUUAUUUAAGGUUUGACCUGCCCACUGAUUUAUUGAAUGGCCGCAGUAAUUUGACUGUGCAAAGGUAGCAUAAUCAUUAGUUUUUUAAUUGAAAGCUUGUAUGAAGGGUUGGACGAGAUAAAAUCUGUCUCUAUUUAAUUUAAAUUAGAAUUUAAUUUUUAAGUUAAAAAGCUUAAAUUUUUAUAAAAGACGAGAAGACCCUAUAGAUCUUUAUAUCAAUAAAAAUUAAUUUUAAUUAAGUUUAUUUAAUUUAUUAUUUUUCUUGAUAUUUUAUUGGGGUAAUAAAAAGAUUUAAUUAAUUCUUUUUAAAAUUUAACAUUAAUUAAUGAUUAAUUGAUCCAAUAAUUUUGAUUAUAAGAUUAAGUUACCUUAGGGAUAACAGCGUAAUUUUUUUAGAGAGUUCAUAUUAAUAAAAAAGUUUGCGACCUCGAUGUUGGAUUAAAAAUUGUCUUAGGUGCAGAAGUUUAAGAAUUUGGUCUGUUCGACCAUUAAAUUUUU